rnacentral:misc_RNA from 1 species
GAUGAAGAACGCAGCGAAAUGCGAUAAGUAAUGUGAAUUGCAGAAUUCAGUGAAUCAUCGAAUCUUUGAACGCACAUUGCGCCCGCCAGCACUCUGGCGGGCAUGCCUGUCCGAGCGUCAUUUCAACCCUCAGGGCCCCUUCGGGGGACCUGGCGUUGGGGAUCGGCCCGCCCCCGUGCGGCGCCGUCCCCGAAAUCUAGUGGCGGUCUCGCUGUAGCUUCCUCUGCGUAGUAGCAACACUCGCACUGGAUCGCAGCGCGGCCACGCCGUUAAACCCCCCACUUCUGAAAGUUUGACCUCGGAUCAGGUAGGAAUACCCGCUGAACUUAAGCAUAUCAAUAAGCGGAGGA